rnacentral:lncRNA from 1 species
AUUAUUUUCCUACAAAAUUUCCCAUUUUGACCAUAUGCAAGUCUAUCCAUUUAUAGGAUUUCUUGUUUUAAUAAUCUAUGUAGAAAAAACUAACUUUUAAAAAAAGACUAAGGAAAUUCAUUUUGCUAAAUAAAAAAGACCUGAAAUCAACUUGUGCCGAUUCUUGGAGAAUCAAAACAACAGUCAGCAAAGUCUGAAGUCUUCUCAGAAGAUCAUGCUUCUUUCAUGGUAGCAAUUAGCUGUCCUGAGAAAGGUCCAUAGCAGUCAGUGAGUGGAGAUUCUCCUUUCUGUGAUGUCCUCUUCUCAAAGGCCUCAGAGCAGCCAUCUUGUAGCUCUUGGUUUUCAUUUCCACCAGAACAGGUUUCAUUUUCCUCCUGUCCCUCUUUUGCGAACUAAAUUUUUAAUUGUAUUUGAUUUUAAACAGCUGCAUGUGGGUAGAAGCUACUCUUCUGGACAUCAUAGGUCUUGAGCCCCAGUCUGCCACCAAGUUCAGAAAGCCCCUUUUCCCACAUAAUAUCAAGUUUGAUAUUGUUGUAUAUUGUAUAUUUACAAUCUUUUUGUAUAUUCACAGGAUAUACAACAAGAUGGACCCGACAUUGUAUGUUUUUAAAACUACUUUGAUAUUCAAACCUGACAAAGACAGUAUACAUACACAAAACCGUAGUUCAAUCUUACCUAAGAAUUCAGAUAUAAAAUCUAAGAUAAAAUAACAAAAACUACAGAUAUGCAGGUGUGUGCAUUAAAAAAAAAACUUAUUAUGUAUGAGGCACUGUGUUAAGUGUUUUACAUGUAGUAUUUCUUUAGUAGGCACUAGUACUAUCUAAUUUUGUAGAAGAGAAAACCAGAUAAGAAAGAUUAAGUAACUUCUCCAAAUAGUCUGUAAGUGAAGAAGCUAGGAUUCAAAUUUAGGUCUGACUUCAGAAUUCAUACUCUCAGUCAUUAUGCUACACUGAAAAAUGAAGUUACUCAGUACAUUAAAGGAAUAAUUUACUACAACACUACGAAGUUUGUAUUAUAGGUUAUAUGAAA